AUACGUAGGGUGCGAGCGUUGUCCGGAAUUACUGGGCGUAAAGAGCUCGUAGGUGGUUUGUCGCGUCGUCUGUGAAAUUCCGGGGCUUAACUCCGGGCGUGCAGGCGAUACGGGCAUAACUUGAGUACUGUAGGGGAGACUGGAAUUCCUGGUGUAGCGGUGAAAUGCGCAGAUAUCAGGAGGAACACCGGUGGCGAAGGCGGGUCCCUGGGCAGUAACUGACGCUGAGGAGCGAAAGCAUGGGUAGCGAACAGGAUUAGAUACCCUGGUAGUCCAUGCCGUAAACGGUGGGCGCUAGGUGUAGGGGUCUUCCACGACUUCUGUGCCGUAGCUAACGCAUUAAGCGCCCCGCCUGGGGAGUACGGCCGCAAGGCUAAAACUCAAAUGAAUUGACGGGG
rnacentral:rRNA from 1 species